rnacentral:lncRNA from 1 species
UUCUGAAUUGGUCCGAUGUUCAGUUAUAGUAAAUUUAAUACAUCUGUCCAUCUGUCGGUGCCAUGCCAUUGAGCUUAGUAUAGAGCAAGCACCAAGAGUAUUCCUAAUCAGUUUUUCUUAAGCUGGAAUCAGCUGUAAAAAUCUGAAUCUAGACUGUGUUCUCUGUAUAUGUAUUUUCAAUCUAAUAUGCCUUUUUUUUGUGCUCUUCAGAAUGGACACAGUGACAACAUCGUUGUCGAAUGGACGCUCAGAAGCUGACUUGUGCUUUCUUCUCUGGCCACAAUGUCCCUGGUUGCCCUGUCCGGAUGCUCAUGUAAGUGGUCUUGCUUUUAUAAGCUAGAAUCAAGGCUUGCCUAGAAUCCAGUGAGGCUGGUUAUGGCUGCCUGGUGGAUCCAGCAUGCCUCUAUACACUGCUGAGUAACUGAAAUUUCCAAAAUUAUGAGAAAAGACAAACGAGAAACUCAUUGUGGCACAAGAUCCAUUAGGUAGCAUUAAAGUACACUUCAGGAUCUUGUUCUUAGGUUUUUGUGAUUAACAGCUAUCUAAAUGCUAUGAGUGGAGUGAAUUAUUGGUCAAUAA